UACGUAGGGUGCGAGCGUUAAUCGGAAUUACUGGGCGUAAAGCGUGCGCAGGCGGUAAGUUAAGUCUGAUGUGAAAGCCCCGGGCUCAACCUGGGAACUGCAUUGGAAACUGGCUUGCUGGAGUGUGGCAGAGGGGGGUGGAAUUCCGCGUGUAGCAGUGAAAUGCGUAGAGAUGCGGAGGAACACCGAUGGCGAAGGCAGCCCCCUGGGCCAACACUGACGCUCAGGCACGAAAGCGUGGGGAGCAAACAGG
rnacentral:rRNA from 1 species